rnacentral:misc_RNA from 1 species
GUGAAUCAUCAAAUUUUUGAACGCAAAUUGCACUCUCUGGUAUUCUGGAGUGGAUGCCUGUUUGAGGGUCAGUUUAAAUAAAAAUCGGUGUGGUUGCUGUCUUUCGUUGUGACGCACCGGAGUUGGGUCUUGUUGCCUUCGGUUAAGUGACCUAAAAUUUUGGAUGAUUUUUUUCGAACGUAUUUAAAUGAUUUUACGUACGUUAGCGAUAUCGAAUACUAGGUUUGGUCAGCCUGAUGUUUGGAG